CGAAGGGGUGACCUGGAGCGAAUCUCAGAAAUAACGUCUCAGUUCGGAUUGUAGUCUGCAACUCGACUACAUGAAGCUGGAAUCGCUAGUAAUCGCGGAUCAGAAUGCCGCGGUGAAUACGUUCCCGGGUCUUGUACACACCGCCCGUCACACCAUGGGAGUCGGGAAUGCCCGAAGCCAGUGACCCAAGCGAGAGCAGGGAGCUGUCGAAGGCAGGCCGGAUAACUGGGGUGAAGUCGUAACAAGGUAUC
rnacentral:rRNA from 1 species